CUUAGUUGAGUUAAGUUGAGAGUAAUUGAAGGACUGAAGGUGGAGAUUAAUAUUAAAAUAACACGAUUUUGAACUUAAAUUUCUUAAUCUAGAGAUAGGCUGAAAUUCUAUGUGGAUCUCAUAAUUAAUCAAAAAACUUAAUGAGUUUUAAUUGAUUUAAUCGCCACAAAAGUAAAAUUUGAGUUGAUUCAAAUACAACUUGAGUGCCUUGAAAAAGUACUUAAGAUAACUUAGAAUUAAUUUCUUCAAAGUAAUAAUCUCUCAUUUAUUGAAUAAAUUAAAUUGAAUCUAUAAUUGAUUGAAGUGUGAACCCUAACUCUGGAAUACUUGUUGAUAUUUCAAUUUAGUUAAUCUACUCUCAUUUACUUACUAGUCAUAAUUAACUUAGUUUAUAAUUUUCUCCCAAAUUUGAUUGUCUAGAUAAUUAUAAUUGUUAUUUAGUUCAGUACUCAACACGAUCCUCAUAGGAACGAUACUCAUCACUUUAUUACUUGUUAACAAUCUGUGCAUUUGAGGGAUUUUACACAAUCAUUAAUUUUCAUAAAUUAAAAACAGUAUGUUUAAAACCUGAGUUUAAAGUAAAUGCUUAGUUGCUUACCUUAG
rnacentral:misc_RNA from 1 species